GACGAACGCUGGCGGCGUGCUUAACACAUGCAAGUCGAACGGAAAGGCCCCAGCUUGCUGGAGUACUCGAGUGGCGAACGGGUGAGUAACACGUGGGUAAUCUGCCCUGCACUCUGGGAUAAGCCUGGGAAACUGGGUCUAAUACUGGAUAUGAUCUUUCUCCUUAUGGGGUUUGGUGGAAAGUUUUUCGGUGUAGGAUGUGCCCGCGGCCUAUCAGCUUGUUGGUGGGGUGAUGGCCUACCAGGGCGACGACGGGUAGCCGGCCUGGGGGGGUGAUCGGCCACAUUGGGACUGGGAUACGGCCCAGACUCCUACGGGGGGCAGAAGUGGGAAAAUUUGCACAAUGGGCGGAGGCCUGAUGCAGCGACGCCGCGUGAGGGAUGACGGCCUUCGGUUGGUAAACCUCUUUCAGCAGGGACGAGGCGGAAGUGACGGUACCUGCAGAAGAAGCACCGGCUAACUAUGUG
rnacentral:rRNA from 1 species